GAAACAAAUGAUUAAUCUCCAUUUGUGACAUGUUUCCAUCUGACUACUCUGCUCUCCAGAUGUCAAAGCCAUUCCAUAUCAUCCUGGCUGCUGCUUUCAACCGACAGCUCUUUCAGGCCAAUCUCUUAAAAUGCCAGCUGCUUCAAAAGUGGCAGAAUUAAUCCAUGUGUUCAUCUGCAAGCUUAAAAUAUUGUACCCUUUCCUUCACUGGUGUGUGUCAGCACAAAGUGUCAGCCUCAUGUAUUGGAUCAUGAACCAAAUUCAAUACCUGCUCAUAAUACCUAUGGAAAUGAUACCAUAUAUACCUGGAUUCACAUCCCACUUUAUUCUACUUGGGACCAGAAACCCCACAAGAGAACAAAGCUUGUUCACUGAUAAAUGUCCACAUCUCUUCCAGGAUCUAACAAGAGUUUGUGCUCAAAGUAAGAGUGAAAGCCCUGAGAGCCGGAAGGGAUGAAAGACAGGACUUCAUCGUGACCCAAGGAUCUUCACCCAUCAAACAAAAUGGUGUGAUGGGGAAAGAGACCUGAGCUUACAUGGGCCUGAUUCCACGUCCUGGCUUUGCUAUGAUCUAGCCAAGAGCAAGUCAGUUCUGAGAGUCUCUGUUUCUACAUCUGCAGAGUAGGUCUUCCAAUAAAUUACUACUUGAGA